rnacentral:rRNA from 1 species
AGUGAACGCCGGCGGUAGGCCUAACACAUGCAAGUCGAACGGCAGCACAGUAAGAGCUUGCUCUUACGGGUGGCGAGUGGCGGACGGGUGAGGAAUACAUCGGAAUCUACUUUUUCGUGGGGGAUAACGUAGGGAAACUUACGCUAAUACCGCAUACGACCUACGGGUGAAAGCAGGGGAUCUUCGGACCUUGCGCGAUUGAAUGAGCCGAUGUCGGAUUAGCUAGUUGGCGGGGUAAAGGCCCACCAAGGCGACGAUCCGUAGCUGGUCUGAGAGGAUGAUCAGCCACAUGGGAACUGAGACACGGUCCAGACUCCUACGGGAGGCAGCAGUGGGGAAUAUUGGACAAUGGGCGCAAGCCUGAUCCAGCCAUACCGCGUGGGUGAAGAAGGCCUUCGGGUUGUAAAGCCCUUUUGUUGGGAAAGAAAAGCAGCAGGUUAAUACCCCGCUGUUCUGACGGUACCCAAAGAAUAAGCACCGGCUAACUUCGUG